UUUUUUCUCUGUUGAAUUCUAACGGUCAUAACCGUUUCUCAAAAGUAAUAAAAUGUCAUUUUUCAUUUCACAUAUUUGAUUUUGAAUUGGUUCCAUGUAUUUAACCACAUAGAAAGUUUGAUCUUAACGUAUAAAACAUUUGAUAUCCUUUUCAUAAGAAAAGUUCAAUAGCAAUUUACCAACAAACAUUUAGCAAUACAUCGUAAUAUCAUUUUAGGAAUCGAUUUGCACAAAGAAAAGAAGAAGAAAAAUAAAGAUGAGACAGAUAAAGAGAAGAGAGAGCAUAGUUAAUAAAAACCCUUAUCUUCAUAUCUUCAGUUAUCCCUUCUGACUUAAUCAAAAAAAGUUUUCUCCACUUAUUUUUCCAUACAGAGGACAUGCAUCAACACUCGGGGAGAAACUACCCCCCCUCCACACUUAAGAAACGCAUGCAUCACAAACUCCAUAGGCCCCAUCACCGCCGCUGCCGAAACUGGGAGCACCGAUGAACACAUGCCUUCCCCGGCUCCGACGACGCUUUCGAGAGACCUCAGGAUCAUCCACACAAGUAAAUAUGAUCCAAGAUAUGAUGGCGAGCCACAUGACGAUCAAGCAGUACAGGGCUUCACCUCCAAAGCCAUCACUCCACGUAGCUUCCAUGCCAAUAGCUUGAAGCUUGUUUCUCCUUCCUUUAGCUAUAAAACCGAGGAAACAAAGAUGCUGUUUUUGUGGUCAGCCUUC
rnacentral:lncRNA from 1 species